GAUGAACGCUGGCGGCGUGCCUAAUACAUGCAAGUCGAGCGAAUGGAUUAAGAGCUUGCUCUUUUGAAGUUAGCGGCGGACGGGUGAGUAACACGUGGGUAACCUGCCCAUAAGACUGGGAUAACUCCGGGAAACCGGGGCUAAUACCGGAUAACAUUUUGAACCGCAUGGUUCGAAAUUGAAAGGCGGCUUCGGCUGUCACUUAUGGAUGGACCUGCGUCGCAUUAGCUAGUUGGUGAGGUAACGGCUCACCAAGGCAACGAUGCGUAGCCGACCUGAGAGGGUGAUCGGCCACACUGGGACUGAGACACGGCCCAGACUCCUACGGGAGGCAGCAGUAGGGAAUCUUCCGCAAUGGACGAAAGUCUGACGGAGCAACGCCGCGUGAGUGAUGAAGGCUUUCGGGUCGUAAAACUCUGUUGUUAGGGAAGAACAAGUGCUAGUUGAAUAAGCUGGCACCUUGACGGUACCUAACCAGAAAGCCACGGCUAACUACGUGCCAGCCGCCGCCGUAA
rnacentral:rRNA from 1 species